AUGGACAAGAACAGGCUAUAUUUUGCAAGGAAAUCAGCAAUUUCCUCAGAGAUUGUUUUUGAUUUAAUACAAAGUCCUAAAGAAAUUGUCAUAUAUGAUUCUUCUUUACAGCGGGAUAAAAGUGGUGUUUUCAACGUCCUGAAUGGUGGUUGUGAAAUAUUUGUGUGCCGAUACAAAGUGGACGAAAAUGUGAAAGUGAUUCCGGCUUGCAACUCCAGGCAGAUUUGAAAACUUGUGAUGCCAGUGUUUAUACGAAGAAUUUCUUGAUUGUGGUUGAUAACUCCCAAGGAAGGAUCCUUCAGAUUAAUAUUAAUAUACGGGAAAUUUAGUUAAAUUACCGAUCAGUGUACAGAGUUCUUCAGGAAUAGCAUUCGAUAGGUCGACAAAGGAACUCAUCUACUCCGAUGGCUCAUAGAAAAUUAUAAUGUCCACAACGCUUCAUGGAAGGUAUACAAC